AUGGGCUCUCCAAUUGACGAAGCUUCGUGGGAGGAAGUGGCUUCUUUUCAAGCUUGCUAUCGGGAUUUCCACCUUGAGGACAAGGUGAGUGUUGAUGAGGAGAGAAAUGAUACGAGCCCAUCAAUAACAGACCCAAUGCAUAAUGAGGAAAGGCCCAACAAUGAGGAUGUAGACGUGAGUCCAAUAGUGGAAAAGAGGCAAUCAAAGAAACCAGACUGGAUGAAGGAUUAUGUGUGCAAGUAG
rnacentral:lncRNA from 1 species